rnacentral:rRNA from 1 species
GAGCGGCGAACGGGUGAUACACGUGAGUAACCUGCCCCUGACUCUGGGAUAAGCCUGGGAAACUGGGUCUAAUACCGGAUACGACCAUUUCUCGCAUGGGAUGGUGGUGGAAAGUUUUUUCGGUUGGGGAUGGGCUCGCGGCCUAUCAGCUUGUUGGUGGGGUGAUGGCCUACCAAGGCGACGACGGGUAGCCGGCCUGAGAGGGCGACCGGCCACACUGGGACUGAGACACGGCCCAGACUCCUACGGGAGGCAGCAGUGGGGAAUAUUGCGCAAUGGGCGGAAGCCUGACGCAGCGACGCCGCGUGGGGGAUGACGGCCUUCGGGUUGUAAACCUCUUUCAGCAGGGACGAAGUUGACGUGUACCUGUAGAAGAAGCGCCGGCUAACUACGUGCCAGCAGCCGCGGUAAUACGUAGGGCGCGAGCGUUGUCCGGAAUUAUUGGGCGUAAAGAGCUCGUAGGUGGCUUGUCGCGUCUGCCGUGAAAGCCCGUGGCUUAACUACGGGUCUGCGGUGGAUACGGGCAGGCUAGAGGCUGGUAGGGGCAAGCGGAAUUCCUGGUGUAGCGGUGAAAUGCGCAGAUAUCAGGAGGAACACCGGUGGCGAAGGCGGCUUGCUGGGCCAGUUCUGACGCUGAGGAGCGAAAGCGUGGGGAGCGAACAGGAUUAGAUACCCUGGUAGUCCACGCUGUAAACGUUGGGCGCUAGGUGUGGGGGUCUUCCACGACUUCUGUGCCGUAGCUAACGCAUUAAGCGCCCCGCCUGGGGAGUACGGCCGG